rnacentral:misc_RNA from 1 species
GAUGAAGAACGCAGUGAAAUGCGAUAAGUAGUGUGAAUUGCAGAAUUCAGUGAAUCAUCGAAUCUUUGAACGCACCUUGCGCCCUUUGGCCAUUCCGAAGGGCAUGCCUGUUUGAGUAUCAUGAACACCUCAACUCUUUAUGGUUUUCCAUGAUGAGCUUGGACUCUGGGGGUUUUGCUGGCUCACAGUCGGCUCCUCUCAAACGGAUCAGCUUUCCAGUGUUUGGUGGCGUCACGGGUGUGAUAACUAUCUACGCCUGUGGUUUUCUGCCAGAUAACCUUCAGCGAUGGAGGUUCGCUGGGGCUCAUAAAUGUCUCUCUUCAGUGGAGACAGCUUUUUGGACGUUUGAUCUCAAAUCAGGUAGGACUACCCGCUGAACUUAAGCAUAUCAAUAAGCGGAGGA